rnacentral:piRNA from 1 species
UAUCCUCGUAGACAGCCUUGAAGGCCACCC